UUACGCCUUCAUGAAGCUGGAAUUGCUAGUAAUGGCAGGUCAGCAUACUGCCGUGAAUACGUUCCCGGGCCUUGUACACACCGCCCGUCACACCAUGAGAGUUGGGAAUACCCGAAGCCUGUGAGCUAACUUAUAGAGGCAGCAGUCGAAGGUAGAAUCAAUGAUUGGGGUGAAGUCGUAACAAGGUACC
rnacentral:rRNA from 1 species